GACGAACGCUGGCGGCGUGCUUAACACAUGCAAGUCGAACGGAAAGGCCCUGCUUUUGUGGGGUGCUCGAGUGGCGAACGGGUGAGUAACACGUGAGUAACCUGCCCUUGACGUUGGGAUAACUUCAGGAAACUGGGUCUAAUACCGGAUAGGAGCUCCUGCGGCAUGGUGGGGGUUGGAAAGUUUCGGCGGUUGGGGAUGGACUCGCGGCUUAUCAGCUUGUGGGUGGGGUAGUGGCUUACCAAGGCUUUGACGGGUAGCCGGCCUGAGAGGGUGACCGGCCACAUUGGGCCUGAGAUACGGCCCAGACUCCUACGGGAGGCAGAAGUGGGGAAUAUUGCACAAUGGGCCGAAGCCUGAUGCAGCAACGCCGCGUGCGGGAUGACGGCCUUCGGGUUGUAAACCGCUUUCGCCUGUGACGAAGCGUGAGUGACGGUAAUGGGUAAAGAAGCACCGGCUAACUACGUG
rnacentral:rRNA from 1 species